GGAUGUUUCCCUGCGAAUUCUUGGGAAUUUCGCGGCAGAGACGUGUUCCUGUUGCGAAAGGACUCGGCGGGAAUAAACAUCGUAAUGUGAUGAUUGUACAUAUAUAUAAAGCUUAGAAAGGAAUGAUCUAUGGCAUACCGUACAUAUUAUAGUACCUCUGAAGGAAUUCAUUAGUUCGAAGUGCUGUACAAAGUAUAUUAUAUAGAUCCAUCCUAUUCAAUAUGUACAUUUCAUCUUACGAAUACUAUUUUCUUCUGUCGCUAGUCAUUCUUCCUAUGUAUCUCUUCUUCAAACUUUGGUCAUGGCUUGGAUGGGAGUUAUUUGUAAAUAAUUAAAAUUUCAAUACCUGAAUAGCUUAAGCGGUACUGCGAAUUUUACCUUUCUUUACACAUUAAAUUAAUCUUUGGCAAGUUAUUUCUUUUAAUUGCAUUUCUCUUGGGGCAUAAAUCUCUAGUUGUGCCUCUUUACCUGAUCAUCCUUGAGUAGUAGCGUGUAGUAGAUAAAAUCUAUCUGUAAUCUAUAUCAAAAUAAAGUAUAUCGGAAUUACAA